AACUUUGGAGAUAAAUCGGUUUUCUGAGUUGGAGGUGACAAAUCCCACUCCCAAUGUCCCCUCGAGCACAGUCAGGAGCUCGGUCGCACGAGGAUGGGUGUGAGGAGGAUUCAAGCCCCCAGGUUGAAAGUCGAUGCGAACUAGGGAGAUUCCAAGAGUGUUAAGACCAGGGAUUUGUACAACAUUUACUGGUGUAACAAUUGACCCGACCCGGCUUUUGCUGUUAUUUGCCUUGUCGAGACCAGAGAAGAAGAAGUCUUUCUCAGUGACGUACUUUGGGUUCUUGCACACUAAUCCAUUCACCAACACUGUACACGUAUAUAUAUUGAAGAUUAAUAGAUGAGAAAAUUAUCCUAUAUAUAUGUCAAGAAAUAAAAUUUGUUCAUAUAUACUUAGUUACUUACCCUUAGAUGCAUGGUCAGCAACACAGAAAUCUUGAAGAGGGCUUGGAUCAGAAGCCAUGGCUGAAGAAGCAAUUGCUAUUGCCACAGCAAAAAACAAAAUGACAAGUUUGGAAUCCAUUGUCAUAUAUUUUUCUAUCUAGUUUGGGAGUGCAUGUAACUUUGAUGGAUUCAUUGUAUUUAUAGAUGAAAACUGGGUAGAAUUAUCUUGAACAAAUCAAAUCUAAUAUAGUAAGAUUUGGUCAAUUUGAAAAUUUACAAAGUUCUAAUUAUCUUGAAGUUUUCUUAUUUUCAUCAAUAACACAUGAAUCGUUGAAUAAUCAUUCAUUAUUAACAAGUUGGACAAAAAAGUACACGUUUUCUUUAUAUACAUUUUAAAAUAUAUUUUGACUUUUAAUUAUCUAUUCAAAUGAAAUUUAUUUUGACUUUUAAUGAAAUUUAUUUUGAUUAGAUAAUAAAAAGUCAAAAAAAAAACACAGUUAAAUCGAUUUAAAAAGCAUAGUUAAAAAAGUACAUUUUUGUUAGAGAUGAGAACAGGGCGGGUCGUCCCGUUCUGCGUCUCGGUGUUAACCGGAGUCAGGGAUGAAUUUCUACCCUAUUUUUAUAUAUUUGCCCCGUCGGUUUUUCGGGGCGAGUCUCAGGGCGAGGAAAAUCAUAAAAACCCUUUUGAUUUUGGCUCACCCCGUUAUGCUUCUUUUGAUUUUAAUUUUCAAGGCGAGUCUUGGAGCAACCUGAUGCGAUCACACUGAACCAGGGAAGGAUCGUGGAGGAUCUAGAAGCAAUGACAGGUAUGGACGUUAGUGAAAGUGUAGAGGAAGAAGAGGGAAUUCAUCAAUCUGAAUUUGAGGAGAAUCGCCCUACCCGACUGAAGACCCGGCUCAAGAAGUAUCAAGGCUUUAUUACCAACUAUCGGCCCAAGAGUUAAUUAAAUCCAGAUUACCUUAUCUUUUAAAUUCGAUUUCUUUCUAUUUUUAUUUUAAUUAAUUGCUAUUUGUAAUUUCGUUAUUUUGGGAACUGUAUCCAUACAGUAUUUAAAUUGUUGUAAACACUUUUAUUUGGUAAUUAAUUAAAUAAUUUCCCUACUCCACCAUUUUCAUCGAACGUGAAAGUUGAGUACGAUUCCGCAACCAUCUCCGACGAUCAACUCCGUCUUGUAUAGCCAUAUAUAGUAGUUCUUCAAGGUAGCUUAACAGCAUUACCUUGAAUAGCUUAAGACUUGAUUUCAGGACCUUGUGUCCGCCGUCUCCGUCUCAUUUAUUCUUAGAUUUCGAUCUAAGAAUCCGAGACGCCAUCUCAUUCCAGGUUAAUUCUUUCUUGGCAUCCUUUAUCGAAUUUUAUCUAAGGGUGGCAAUAACAUACACGAUUCGUAAAAACACACGACACGACACGAUUUUAACACGACACAGGUUAAGUUCGAGCCCAGGAUCGCGGACUCGAGCUUGCGAGCCCGGCUCUAUAAGAAAAAGCUCGGCUCGUUUGAUACCCUAGUCGUAUCGUGUUCGUAUCGUGUCGUUUUGACACGAAUUUCGUGUCGUGUCAUUCGUGUUGUGUCGACCCGGAUUCAAGCGUGUUCGUGUUAUUUUUUUUGACACGGGUAGUUUUCGUGUCGACGAAAAAAUUAGUCGUGUCGUGUAAACAUGAAUUGCCAUGCCUAAUUUUAUCCCCAUUAUUUAGUGCUUUCAAUACUGUACUCAUUUACCAGGAAAAAAAAUCAGCAAUGGAAAUUAUAAACAAUCCGGAUUUCCAAAGACUUCAAGCACUCCAAAUGGCUCAAGGGAAAGAACUCACAGAGUUUAGGGUGGUGAUAUCUAAAUCCAUAGAAGAUCUUGCUGCACAAAUCGUAAAUCUUUGUUCAAGGGAGAUAACAAAAAAGAAAAAUUAAGAACCAGAUCCAUCAGGUACAAAAAAAUGCAAGUUUAAUGAUCAAAGCUAUUUUUCUAUGGUAGAUCUAGAUAUGCCCGAUUAUGCAAAGAGUUUUAGAGAAAAUGAAGAAGAACCACAGAAGGGCGUGAAAGUCUUUAUGCCUAAGUUUGAUGGAACUGAGGCUGAAGAAUGGUUAUAUCAAGUCAGAAGAUUCUUCAUAUAUAACAGAACCCCAGAGGAUCAGAAGUUGCUUAUAGUCUCUUUUCAUGUAGAAGGAAUGGCUAGAAAGUGGUUUGCAUGGAUAGAAGCUAGUGGGUACUUGUCAGACUGGAAAGCUUUUGUGAUAUCAGUUCAAAGAAAAUUAUGCAGUUCACAGUAUGUGCUACCAGGAGAUAAGCUGAGCAAAUUAUUACAGACAUCCUUAGUUGUUGAUUAUAUAACCAAAUUCGAAGAUAUGUGCACAAGGUGUUUGGGACUUCCAGAUUAUUUCAUACUCGAGAUGUUCAUAUCUGGCCUGAAAGAGGAUAUUCUAACAGUGGUAGUCAAAGUCAAACCCGAGGGUUUACAAGAGGCUUUUGAUGUAGCAUUACUAGUGGAAGAGCAAUCUGGACCUAGAUCUUAUGGAAUUAAAUCAUGGUUCAACAAACCUUAUAAACCAGCAUGGUCUGGAAAUAUUCAAAAUACAAUCACAAGUAAAGAUAGCCAACCAAGCAAUAAAACAACAGUUCCUACUACAACCUUCAGAAGAUUAUCUCAAGAAGAAAGGAAAGAAAGAACUACCAAGGGAUUAUGCUUCAAUUAUGAUGAGAAAAUUACAAGAGGACAUAAGUACAAAGGUAAAUUAUUCAUGUUAUCAUCUGAUGAAUCUUAUUUUGUAGAAAUUGAAGGUCAAGAGGAGGCUGAAUUCGAGAGAGAAGAGGCAGAAGAAAUUACUAAUGAGAUCAACGAAGAGAUUCUAUCUGGAAUCAGUAUGCAUGCAUUUGAAGGACAUAUGAGCCCAAGUACUAUCAGGCUAGAAGAAUCUAUAAAGAGUCAGGCAGUAAGUAUUUUGAUAGAUUCAAGCUCUACCCAUAAUUUUAUGUAGUUAAAAGUGGCAAUAGAUCUCCAACUGACCAUCCAUGCUAUUCAAUCCUUUAAUGUUUCCACUAGUGGAGGAGAGAAAUUGAUCUAUAAUAGAAUAUGUAAGGCUGUGAGGAUGAAGAUACAGGGAAUAGAGGUUUCUGUGGACUUGUUUCUAAUUCCAAUGUCUGGCUCAAAUGUGAUAUUGGGGAUUCAGUGGUUGAAGAAAGUGGGGGAUAUUUUAUCUAAUGAUGAAAAGCUCACCAUGAGGUUUAAAUUAAAUGGCAUGGAGGUAUUGUAGCAAGAUUUAUCAUGGUUAUCCCAAGAUCCAAUGAGUUCGGGAGAAUUAAAGAGUUUAGUGGGUGAGACCAAAGAAGCCUUCUCAUGUUAUUUUGAGAUAGCAGAAAAAAAUAAAAAUUCAGAAAAUUUGAAGGUCAGUAAUCCCAAAAUUCAUGAAGUGGUAGCAAAUUUCAGUGAUAUUUUUGUAGACCCAACAAGACUUCCACCACAUAGAGAAAAGGAUCAUAUGAUUCAUUUGAUCUCAGGGGAAAAACCAGUGAAUGUUAGGCCUUACAAAUACCCACAAUUUCAAAAAAAUGAAAUUGAGAAGCUUAUUUCUGAGAUGUUAAAAUAGGAAACUAUCAAACUUAGCUCUAGCCCUUACUCUUCUCCAGUAUUAUUGAUAAAAAAAGAAAGAUCGGGAUUACAAGAUGUGUGUAGAUUAUAGGGCACUUAAUGCAUUGACGAUUAAGGAUAAAUUCCCUAUCCUGACAGUGGAUGAGUUAUUAGGAGAACUCAAGGGUGCUACUAUAUUUUCAAAAUUGGAUCUAAGAUCAGGAUUCCAUCAGAUAAGAGUGUGUCCUUCAGAUACAUAACACAAACAACCUUCAAAACCCACAAAGUUCAUUUUGAAUUUCUAGUAAUGCCAUUUGGCCUAACAAAUACCCCAACAACAUUUCAAUCAAUCAUGAACUUUGUUUUUUCCAGAAGUAUCUAAGAAAAUUUGUAAUAGUAUUCUUUGAUGACAUCCUUAUCUACAGUCCAUCAUUGUCAGACCAUUUAUCUCAUCUGGAGAGUGUUUUGAAACCUUAAGAAAGAACCAAUUUCUGGCCAAGUUAUCCAAAUGCUCAUUUGGUCAAAGUUCUGUAGGAUUCUUAGGUCAUAUAAUUAUUGUAGAUGGAGUUCAUUCUGACCCAGAGAAAAUACAGGCAAUGUUAGAAUGGAAGGCCCUCAAAACAAUCAAAUUAUUGAGGGGAUUUCUGGGCCUUACAGGAUACUACAAAAGGUUUAUUACAAAUUAUGAUAGUAUAGCUUCUCCAAUGACCAAUUUACUAAAAAAGACAAUUUCAUAUGGAAUGAAGCAGCUGAAGAAAGUUUCAAGGAGCUGAAAAAAGCUAUGACAACUGCUCAUGUCCUAGCCUUUCCUGAUUUCAUAGUACAGUUUGAAGUGGAGACAGAUGCUUGUGGUCAUGGGGUUGGAGCAGUCUUGAUUCAAAAAAAUCAUCCUAUAGCGUUUUAUAGUUGCAAAAUUUCUGAGAGAAUGAUGGGUGCAUCAGUUUAUGUAAAGGAAAUAUAUGCAAUAACCCAGUCUGUUAAAAAAUGGAGACACUACUUGUUAGGUUCUAAAUUCAUCAUUAGGACUGAUCAUAGGAGCCUCAAAAAUCUACUCACUCAAGUAAUACAAACACAUGAGAAACAAGUUUUCCUCUAUAAGUUGUUAGGUUUUUAUUUUUCAAUUAUAUACAGACCAGGAAAAUUCAAUGUGGUUGUUGAUGCUUUAUCUAGAUCAAUGGGGGAAUAUUCAGAAAUUGAAAUUUUAUUUUCACAAUCAUAUGAAAAGGAGGUUGGAUCAUUAUUAGCAUUAUCUAUUCCAAUAAAUUCUUUGGUGGAAAGAAUUAAAUUAAAGAAUCAGAAUAAUGAAGAAUUGAAGAGUUUGAUAGACAAAAUUUGAGAAGAAACCGUAUCAAUUUGGGGAAUUCUCUGUUAUAAAUGGCUUAAUAAGAUACAAAGACAGAAUCUAUCUAAAGGAAGAUUCCAACUUCAUUCCACAUAUUUUAGCAGAAUACCACGGAUCCCUAUUGGGGGGUCACUCUGGAAUUGUGAGGAUAUUAAAGAGAAUUUCAACAUUAAUUUGGUGGAAGCACAUGAGGGAGUCAGUGACUUCUUUUGUUCAGAAGUGCAUCAUUUGUCAGAAAAUGAAAUCCUUUAACCACAAGCUGGGUCUACUAAUGCACAACCAAUUCCAUCUAAGGUAUGGCAUGAUAUUUCCAUGGAUUUUAUUACACAUUUAGUUAGGGUUAGGGUUAGGCUUUCUCAUUCUCUCUCACUUUGUAGUCUAGGUUUAGUACGUAGGGUAAAGUAUAUCUUCCAUUGAGACAUGUUGUAUUAAUAGGAUAUCAGUUGUCCCUUGGGGCCGGGCCUCAAUGUUAAUGGGUCGUUAGGCGGGCCGGCCUGGACCAGAGCCAGGUUGGAUCUGGGUACGUUCCUGGUCCCUCGUGUCGGGUCGAUUGAUAUGUAUCGGGCCGUAUCGGAUCAUGGGGUGUUCUUGGGCUCUGCCUCCGUUGCUUGUGACGAUAUCUCCGAUUCCUCCUUCUUUCUAGAGAUUCCUUGGAUCAAGAUCGCCGCCUACGGUCCCUUCUCCUAUCCCUUCUGACGAUGGGAGAUCAGGAUGGGUUGUAAGAUCGGUACAUCAUGAGGACAUCUGGUCAUGAGCCCCUCAUCCAUUAUAACAAUGCCGAUCAGGCAAGAUCUUUCCCAAGGUCUCUAAUUACCUUCGGCGUUCGUUUCUCUUCCUUAUUUUCACCAAUUCUCAAGGAGUUCAUUCCUUACCGGAUCUCGGCAUCUCGGAUUGCCUUUCUGUUGCUCGCCAUCAAAAAGUUGCGUAUGUGCUCACGUUGGGUUCACCACUGAUGACGUAUGGCCGAAAAGUGGACCUAUACAAUCGGGUUAUGGAUUCUCAUUCUCUCUCACUUUGUAGUCUAGGUUUAGUAGGUAGGGUAAAGUAUAUCUUCCAUUGAUACAUGUUGUAUUAAUAUCUCUAAGUUGUCCCUUGGUGCCGGGCCUCAAUGUUAAUGUGUCGUCAGGCGGGCCGGGCCUAGGCCAGAGCUGGGUUGGAUCUGGGGACGUUCUUGGUCCUUCGUGUCGGGUCGUUCAGUAUGUAUCGGGCUGUAUCGGAUCAUGGGGUGUUCUUGGGUUCUCGUAAUAGGCCGGGUCUACUGAUGUUAUUUCUAGAACAUUCUAGUGGGCCAAGAGUAUCAUCAGUUACGAUUAAAGUUCUUCCUAGUUCUCAAAUAGUGAGAGCGAUCUCACAUUAAACUGACCCUAAUAUUUAAAUCUUCACUUUGAAAAAUGAAAACAUAUAUCCAAUUUCGUAUUUUUUUUAUAAAACUUUAAUUAAUAUUUAAUUUUAAAAAUCAAAUUUUUUAUUGUAUUCAAAUACUUGGUAAUUAUUUGAAAUAACAUUGCACAAUUAUUCAUCUGUCAUCACAAAAAAAAAUCAAAUCAAUAUAGGCAAUACAUGAUUGAUAAUUAUAAGGUUCUUAUGAAAUUAUUGUGAUGGUGCCCUAAUCAGAGAACUCGUCUUGAAGGUACUUUACAACGUCUUUGUCAAGACUGAAUGCCUUUGUUAGAACAUUGACGUCGAUGGGAGGUUUGGAUCCGAACAAAGCAUCUGCAAUAGUGAUGACACCUGGAUUCUGGCUACUGAGUCCGGCGAUUGCCACGACAGGAUCAUUUCCGAGGUUUAUUUGAAAGUGGAUGAGACCGAUAGGGAAGGUGAAGACAUCACCCUUUUUGAGAACUUUGGAGAUAAAUCGGUUUUCUGGGUUGGAGGUGACAAAUCCCACUCCCAAUGUCCCCUCGAGCACAGUUAGGAGCUCGGUCGUACGAGGAUGGGUGUGAGGAGGAUUCAAGCCCCCAGGUUGAAAGUCGAUGCGAACUAGGGAGAUUCCAAGAGUGUUAAGACCAGGGAUCUGUGCAACAUUCACUGGUGUAUAUAACAAUUGACCCGACUCGACUUUUGCUGUUAUUUGCCUUGUCGAGACCAGAGAAGA
rnacentral:lncRNA from 1 species